rnacentral:rRNA from 1 species
AUUGAACGCUGGCGGCAGGCCUAACACAUGCAAGUCGAACGAGUGGCGGACGGGUGAGUAAUGUCUGGGAAACUGCCUGAUGGAGGGGGAUAACUACUGGAAACGGUAGCUAAUACCGCAUACCAUCAGAUGUGCCCAGAUGGGAUUAGCUAGUAGGUGGGGUAAAGGAUCACCUAGGCGACGAUCCCUAGCUGGUCUGAGAGGAUGACCCGCCAUACGGGAACUGAUACACGGUCCAUACUCCUACGGGAGGCAGCAGUGGGGAAUAUUGCACAAUGGGCGCAAGCCUGAUGCAGCCAUGCCGCGUGUGUGAAGAAGGCCUUCGGGUUGUAAAGUACUUUCAGCGAGGAGGCGUUACUCGCAGAAGAAGCACCGGCUAACUCCGUGCCAGCAGCCGCGGUAAUAC